ensembl:lncRNA
UGCAGACAUCCUUAUAGCCUCCACCUACAGUUCCUCAAGACAUGCAGACAUCCGUAUAGCCUCCACCUACAUCUCCUCAAGACUUGCAGACAUCCUUAUAGCCUCCACCUACAUCUCCUCAAGACAUGCAGACAUCCUUAUAGCCUCCACCUACAGCUCCUCAAGACAUGCAGACAUCCUUAUAGCCUCCACCUACAUCUCCUCAAGACAUGCAGACAUCCUUAUAGCCUCCACCUACAUCUCCUCAAGACUUGCAGACAUCCUUAUAGCCUCCACCUACAUCUCCUCAAGACAUGCAGUCAUCCUUAUAGCCUCCACCUACAGCUCCUCAAGACUUGCAGACAUCCUUAUAGCCUCCACCUACAGCUCCUCAAGACAUGCAGACAUCCUUGUCCCAUCCUUCUCUAGCUAAUUCCUUCACAAUCCUUCACUCUAACCCAAACCCUGUCCCACACCAACAUUUCAUUUAUUUUAUUCCUCAAAUAACAGCAACACACACGGCCGCUAAAUCAUGCUUGUGCAUGUGUGCACAAUAUAAAGUGUCAUGAGAUGGGUUGUAACUAAAGAGCUGGACCGGUUCUAAUCUGGUACUCCUAAAGAUGAUUGGCUGGAUGUACAGGUGUUCAAGCCAAUCACAGUCCAUUUCACUAUUUAUCAGGUCUGAAUGUAUUUUGGAACUAUGGGAUUGAAGGAACUUAACCUGGUCCAAGAUCUGUUUGUGCUGUCUUGCCAACCUCCCAUGGCCGUUGUCACGAGUUGGCAAGACAUUCGUUUUGGAAAUCCAAGACCCAGGGCAGAUUCUCUUGGUUGUUGCAGAGAGAGUCCUCUUCAGAGAGACAUCUCUCCCAACAAUUCAAGAGUUUGGGUCGGCGGAGUUUAAAUGUGGGUGGGGAUUGUGCUGUUUACACUAAAGGCAACAAGCGGAUAAGUCAGUAACAUAAGAAAGCUGGAUGUCCCAACUCCUUCCUGUCUUCUAUGCCAAGCUGACAUUGUACAUGUACAGAGGUGUAAGAACAUCGGUACUUUGUGGGAGGCAACCUGUCUUUCUAGAGAGACUAGCAAGGCAGCUCAAACAUAUCUAGGUCCAGGCUACUAGACCAGCUGAAGCAGUUUUAAAAUGGAGCGGCUAAGGUUUUGUUUAUUUUAUUGGGGGGCAUUAUUUGGCAUUAUUUCCUUUUUUAUUUUGUAUUUUUUACAGUUAGCCACUGUUAGUGUGCUUCAAGUGGGGGAAGUGUGCAAAACAAAAAUAUAAAAUAUAAAAUAUAAAAUGCAAGUUUCAAAGAUUUUACUGAGUUAAGGAAAUCAGUCAAUUGAAUUGACUGAUCAGUCAACUUGGAAUUAGGCCUACCCACUUGGGAACCAGGACCAGCCAAUAAGAAUUCCCCCCAAAAAAAGGGCUUUUUUACAGACAGAAAUAUUCAACAGUUUCAUCAGCUGCCCGGUUGGCUGGUCUCAGAUGAUCCCGCAGGAGAAGAAGCCGGAUGUGGAAGUCCUGGGCUGGUGUAGUUACAUGUGGUCUGCGGUUAUGAGGCCGGUUGGACAUACUUCCAAUACUUUUCUCGAGCCCCGUAGUCAUCCACAACGGCAAAACAACAAGACACAGGUACUCACACGACCAACGGACAUUGUAACAAUAAUCAACAGGACAAUGGUGAACAAAGGUCACAGGUAUACAAUUACUAAUCAAAUGGGAAUAGGGAUCCAGGUGUGCGUAAUGACAUUUCCGGAGGGAUCCGUGACAGCGACAUGUUUUAGAGUGGCCUUUUAUUGCCCCCAGCACAAGGUACACCUGUGUAAUGAUCAUGCUGUUUAAUUAGUUUCUUGACAUGCCACACCUGUUAGGUGGAUGGAUUAUCUUAGCAAAGGAGAAAUGCUCACUAACAGGGAUGUAAACAAAUUUGUGCACAAAAUACAUUUUUUUGUACGUAUGCAACAUUUCUGGGACACUUUACAUGUUGCGUUUAUAUUUUUGUUCAGUUUAGAAAGAAAAUAGAAAAAUAACAUUUGCGAGACAAGGUGAAGAAAGGAGAGAUGAGAUGAGGAAUGGAGAGAUAAGGUGAGGGAAGGAGAGAUACGGAGGGAAGGAGAGGGAGGGAGAGAGAAGGUGAGGGAAGGAGAGAUAAGGUGAGGGAAGGAGAGAUGAGGUGAGGGAAGGAGAGAUACGGAGCGGGAAGGAGAGAUAAGGUGAGGGAAGGAGAGAUAAGGAGAGGGAUGGAAAGAGAAGGUGAGGGAAGGAGAGAGAAGGUGAGGGAAGGAGAGAUAAGGAGAGGGAAGGAACUCUACACCUACCCCACUGGGCACGCACUGGUUGAAUAAACAUUGGUUCAACGUCAUUUGUCAACCUAUUUUGAUGUGGAAUCAACGUGGACAACACAUUUGAAUUCACGAAAAAGGUAAUCAACCAGCAUCGUAACCAUUGACAUUUGGGUCAAAUUUCAACUAAAAUACAAUGACUUCUUAAACAGAUCAGAGACCAGCCUAGAAUCUCUUAUCUUUAGAACAAAGAUCUUCUUCAAAAAAGAAACUCAACAUUGAAAAAAAGGACAAUCGUUGGAAGAACUAGGAACAAUCUACUCCCAUUGUAACUCUAUGUAUUCUGUGUGUUCGACUCCUCCAUGAUCGAACCAAUAGAGAUGAUCUAAACUAAAGAAAACAAUGUUCAACUUUUUUUCCCCCUCUGUCGUCAACUGUAAAUAAUAAAUUCAAUAAAAUAGUUUUUCAUUUCUGC